ensembl:lncRNA
CAGAUAAGGCGUACUGUUGACCAAGCGGACGACUCCGUGGUUCAUGAUGGAGGGGUAUGUUUGUUUGAGAGCGCUCUGGGACUGGAUCAUCUCCAUGCUCAUUACCCUCAGUGCCACUGGUGGCAGUCUGUUUACCAUGGCGACGGGAUGAAAAGGCCACCCCGGGACCUGGCCUGACAUGGUGAAGACGUUCCCGGCCAGACCACACAUAGGAGAGGAAGACAUGGACGUUUACAAAGUAAAAGUCCCCCUCCCGCCUCCCUAAGUUUAUUGACUCACUGAUGCAAAUUAGAGGUACAACCAUCAGUGGGCUGGACACAAAUCAUGGCAAGGUAUUUCCUUUGACUGGACCUGGGAUAAAUCCAUGCUCUCAGAGGGACCUUCUGCUCCCAUAUUCAUGUUUCUCUUCUCUCUCCCCGAAGAAAAUGUAUUAACACAGCAGGAGUGUGUGUGUGUGUGUGUGUGUGUGUGUGUGUGUGUGUGUGUGUGUGUGUGUGUGUGUGUGUGUGUGUGUGUGUGUGUGUGUGUGUGUGUGUGUGUGUGUGUGUGUGUGUGUGUGUGUGUGUGUGUGUGUGAUUGACUCUUGCUCUCCGGGUGUGAUGCCCCUCCUCCCAC